rnacentral:rRNA from 1 species
CAGUCGAACGGAGACGGACCUGGAAGUAACAGUUUAUUGUAACGGAAAGACCUGUCUUAGUGGCGGACGGGUGAGUAACGCGUGGGCAACCUGCCCUGUACCGGGGGAUAACACUUAGAAAUAGGUGCUAAUACCGCAUAAUAAGGAAGACCGCAUGGUGGUCCUUUGAAAACUCCGGUGGUACAGGAUGGGCCCGCGCCUGAUUAGCCAGUUGGCGGGGUAACGGCCCACCAAAGCGACGAUCAGCAGCCGGCCUGAGAGGGUGGACGGCCACACUGGGACUGAGACACGGCCCAGACUCCUACGGGAGGCAGCAGUGGGGAAUAUUGCACAAUGGGGGGAACCCUGAUGCAGCGACGCCGCGUGAGUGAAGAAGUAUCUCGGUAUGUAAAGCUCUGUCAGCAGGGAAGAAGAAAGACGGUACCUGACCAAGAAGCCCCGGCUAACUACGUGCCAGCAGCCGCGGUAAUACGUAGGGGGCAAGCGUUAUCCGGAUUUACUGGGUGUAAAGGGAGCGUAGACGGCAGGGCAAGUCUGGAGUGAAAGGCAGGGGCCCAACCCCUGGACUGCUCUGGAAACUGUCCGGCUGGAGUGCAGGAGAGGUAAGUGGAAUUCCUAGUGUAGCGGUGAAAUGCGUAGAUAUUAGGAGGAACACCAGUGGCGAAGGCGGCUUACUGGACUGUAACUGACGUUGAGGCUCGAAAGCGUGGGGAGCAAACAGGAUUAGAUACCCU